UUAAUAAUGCGUGAAAUUAUUGUAAUUAGCAUAGUAAUAAAAUAGUAUAUAUACAUAAGUUAACGGAGCUUCAAUGUAUUCACUAUAUAAUAAUAAGCCCUGUCCAUAACUUGCCUAGUCUAAAAAACCCAAAAUUUAAAAAACUUUGUAAAGCACCUUGAAAAACUUGGAGCAAAAUGAAUAAAGUUCUUGUGAUCUGUCUUAUACUCGCUGCAGUGGUCGUCGUAACAGAAAGUAACCCGUGCUUAAAAAAAAUAAAAUCCUAUGACUCAGGAUGCGAUUGUGAUCAGAAUAGCUCACACCAUGAUGACUCUAAUGAUGGCGGCUCGGGUUGUGGUUCUGAAAAGAAAGAGAAAAAACAUAAAAGCAAGCCGUGUAACUAAAGAAAAUUAAGCAACACUACUGUUUGUUAUUUUAAAUUUAAUAUAAAUUUACUAUAAAUUAUUCAACAAAUAACUAGAUUUGGCUAAGCAUGUGCAUGUAACAAUCAAUUUCACAAUUAUGUGAAAGGAAAGUUUCGAUUCCUUAUAAAGUGGACUUUUGGUGAAGGUUUUAGUAACUAUCAAUUCACUAGCUAGACUGCUACACCACCCUUUUAAUGUACACAUGUAAGGUAUGUGUAAUUUUUAUGCACUAUGAAAAGUCCUAAAUUACCGUUGGAUGUAUUUAUUUAAAAAUAUUUUCGUGGCAAAUUUAAUCACAAAAUUUCAACUCCGCUCGCAAAAAUAAUGUAUCUGUAUUUAUGCCAUACUUUAUGGUCCACAUCAAGCAUAUUUUUUUGAAAUUAAAACGAUAAUCUGUAUUUUCACAUGCUUUUUAUAAAAUAUAAUAAAUUACUGUCAUAAAUAUUUUAUACCUAAUUAAAUCGAAGGCUAUAUAGUAUGAUUUCUUUCCACUUCAAUUUAAGUAGGUAUUACUCGUUGGAAUUGCAAUAAAUUGUAUUGUUAUCCUUAAAUGAGUUUGUGUGUAUUUUAUAUGCUUGAAAUAAAGAAUUAAAUUAAAAUUGAA